rnacentral:rRNA from 1 species
GAUGAACGCUGGCGGCGUGCCUAAUACAUGCAAGUCGAGCGAACAGAUAAGGAGCUUGCUCCUUUGACGUUAGCGGCGGACGGGUGAGUAACACGUGGGUAACCUACCUAUAAGACUGGGAUAACUUCGGGAAACCGGAGCUAAUACCGGAUAAUAUUUCGAACCGCAUGGUUCGAUAGUGAAAGAUGGUUUUGCUAUCACUUAUAGAUGGACCCGCGCCGUAUUAGCUAGUUGGUAAGGUAACGGCUUACCAAGGCGACGAUACGUAGCCGACCUGAGAGGGUGAUCGGCCACACUGGAACUGAGACGCGGUCCAGACUCCUACGGGAGGCAGCAGUAGGGAAUCUUCCGCAAUGGGCGAAAGCCUGACGGAGCAACGCCGCGUGAGUGAUGAAGGUCUUCGGAUCGUAAAACUCUGUUAUUAGGGAAGAACAUACGUGUAAGUAACUGUGCACGUCUUGACGGUACCUAAUCAGAAAGCCACGGCUAACUACGUGCCAGCAGCCGCGGUAAUACGUAGGUGGCAAGCGUUAUCCGGAAUUAUUGGGCGUAAAGCGCGCGUAGGCGGUUUUUUAAGUCUGAUGUGAAAGCCCACGGCUCAACCGUGGAGGGUCAUUGGAAACUGGAAAACUUGAGUGCAGAAGAUGAAAGUGGAAUUCCAUGUGUAGCGGUGAAAUGCGCAGAGAUAUGGAGGAACACCAGUGGCGAAGGCGACUUUCUGGUCUGUAACUGACGCUGAUGUGCGAAAGCGUGGGGAUCAAACAGGAUUAGAUACCCUGGUAGUCCACGCCGUAAACGAUGAGUGCUAAGUGUUAGGGGGUUUCCGCCCCUUAGUGCUGCAGCUAACGCAUUAAGCACUCCGCCUGGGGAGUACGACCGCAAGGUUGAAACUCAAAGGAAUUGACGGGGACCCGCACAAGCGGUGGAGCAUGUGGUUUAAUUCGAAGCAACGCGAAGAACCUUACCAAAUCUUGACAUCCUUUGACAACUCUAGAGAUAGAGCUUCCCCCUUCGGGGGACAAAGUGACAGGUGGUGCAUGGUUGUCGUCAGCUCGUGUCGUGAGAUGUUGGGUUAAGUCCCGCAACGAGCGCAACCCUUAAGCUUAGUUGCCAUCAUUAAGUUGGGCACUCUAAGUUGACUGCCGGUGACAAACCGGAGGAAGGUGGGGAUGACGUCAAAUCAUCAUGCCCCUUAUGAUUUGGGCUACAUACGUGCUACAAUGGACAAUACAAAGGGCAGCGAAACCGCGAGGUCAAGCAAAUCCCAUAAAGUUGUUCUCAGUUCGGAUUGUAGUCUGCAACUCGACUACAUGAAGCUGGAAUCGCUAGUAAUCGUAGAUCAGCAUGCUACGGUGAAUACGUUCCCGGGUCU